ACCUAAUAGAUCAUGAAGAAUACUUGUUACAUGAUUGGAAUUUUACUUUUUAUUUAACCUUUUUUCUUUUUUAUUUAUAUUGGUUUUUUAACUUUUUAAUUCUUUUCUUGUUUUUUUUUUCUUUUCUAUGUAGGAGAUUUAAUGUAAAAUUGAAAAAUUCAAGUUAUAUCGAGAUACUUCAUAUAUUCACACAAAUAGGACAUUGUUGUAUACCAUUUCCUAUUUCUUCAUGUUAUAGAAACUAUGCCUAUUGCAAUUUAUACAUUGAAGACUCAUUCUUUUGUUCUGUAUAAAUAGGCCAAUGUCCUAGUUUGUUUUAACUCAGUGUAGUGUAAUAUAUGCAUGCAAGCGUCGAAUAUAACGAACAACCAAAGAAUCCAUAAAGAACAACAGCUGCUCGUCCUGCCAUAGUUUGAGGAGCGGUACUUCCGUAUCCUGAAAGAAGAUCCAGAUUCACACAUUGAACCUAUUUUCUAAAAAUCUUUCUACGAGGGGAGUAAUCUACAUAUGUGUACGUGCAAGCGUACAUAUCGACGGCUAAAGGAGUUGUCGAGAGGAAAUUUUUAUAUUCAUUUAUAUAUGUUUCUUUAAGUAAGAAAUUGCAAUAAGAAGAUCAAGCAAAAUGUGAAGUAAAAUUAUAAAUACAAUCAAUUUAGACGAAUACAAAUUUCAAUGAUAAUAUCAUUACAAUAAACAAUAAUAAUAAUAAUAAUAAUAAUAAUAAUAAUAAUAAUUAAACAAGAAAAAAA